UACGUAGGGGGCGAGCGUUGUCCGGAGUUACUGGGCGUAAAGCGCACGCAGGCGGUCUGCUAAGUUUGGAGUGACAGUUGGUGGCUUAACUGCCAAAGUGCUUCGAAAACUGACAGACUUGAGGGCUUCAGAGGGACACGGAAUUCCGGGUGGAGUGGUGAAAUGCGUAGAGAUCCGGAGGAACGCCAAAAGGCGAAGGCAGCUCU
rnacentral:rRNA from 1 species